UAUUAUUUGUGUGUAACUGUUUGGUGGUGUUUAUUGAGGAGGGAGGUUUGUAUAAGGGCAGAUUGGUGUUUGCACACCUAGUAGUGAAUUGUUCUUUAUUCGUCCUCUGUGUCCAUAAUUUUUUGGGUCUGGAAAACAGGAAGCAGAGGAAUAGCUGAACAACCACCACCCAUAGCAACAGAAAGCAGAUAAAUCCAAAAGUCAUUUAUUUUGCUUCUCCAAAAAUGUUGCCCUCCCCUCAAACUGAGGGGUUCCCCGCAGGCUGGGUUUUGCCAUCAUGUCUGGGAAUGGCUGGGCUGACUUCAGUGCUCUCCCCUCCACAGGCAGAGGGAUGCAGGGCAGCCCCAGAAACUGCAGGGCUUGAUAUCCAGCACAGCUCAUAGGGCUCAAGGUGUCCCAGAAAUGUACUCAGGGAUUAAAUUGCUCCCACACCCAUCCUAACCAGCAGCAGCGCUGUGUCCCAAGGGCACCAUUGGCCACAUCACUAUGCCAGCAGCACUUCACCCCCUUUGGGGCUCUGUAUUUAUUCCCUGACUGGGUAUUACCUGUAGUGAAACCCAUGAUUACCAAGGAAAAAAGAAAAAGGGUAUCAAGUGCAGCAUACAAAAACAAACAAACAAAAAAAAACCAACCCCACAAAACCCCAGAUGGCUUUGGUCACUUUGGCUGAGAGAUGCACUUUUUCUUCCAAUAAAAGCCCAAAUUGAAAUCCCAUCUGCUAUACAGGAGCCAUCUGCAUAAUUCAGAAGUGUGAAAAACAAUCAGCCUCUUCUUUCCCUUCCCCAGCCUCCCAUCUCAUCAUCUUGUUUCCCUGGGGUGCUGCAGCCCUCUGUUAUUUAAGCCUGGAGUGAUGGGGAAUGCUGUGAGCCACCCAUUCCAGCCCCAGGAGGCAGGCUCCUGGGGGAGGCUCAGCUUUUUGCAAUCAGGAUGAUUAAUUGUGGACUCACACAAAAACCCAAGAGAGGGAAAAAAAACAAAAAAAGGCUUUUUGCAGGUUCCUUAGUAGAAUGUGUAGUUAUAGGGGCAGUCUUCCUGGUUUGUUCUUGUUUGAUAUCAUCUGUUUAUUCCAUUGAUGCUUCAAGAAUAAGUGAUACAAAGCCCUCUACCAUUUGGGAAGUAGAUCUGUGCCUUCUCAAGAUUUUGCUCAUUCUUGGCAGCUUGGCAGGGCAGAAUGGGCUGGCUGUAGGACCCCGAAGGAAGAAGCACGACCAGCCACCAGAUGUGUGACCUCCUCACCCUGCUGGCAGCACUGAACGUCCUUUCCUGUAAACUUCUCUGAGGUUGUAUUUUCCUUUCUCUUCCCAGCCCUCAGCUGCUGGUUAUUAUCAUUAUCAGGCAUAAAUGGCUUCUUUCACACUCCAUAUGGUGAGUGCUCCUAUGAAUAAGAUCUUAGUACCCCAAAAAGGUUUGCAUGAGGUUCAGACAGUGUUUUGCAACUAAAUUAAUACGAGAAAGGAAUGUUUUGAACCCAUCUCCCUUUGUAGGCAAGGGGAUAUUUCCAUAUUAUUGGAUCAAGUAUGUGCGUCAUAGAUCUGCAAAGGAAAAAGAGCGCAAGAGUAAGAUCUUUUCUUAGGGGAAGGAAAUGUGUUAGGAAGUACAGCAAGUUCAAAAAUUGAGCAGUGGGAAAGUAUUGAGAUCUUGAUUCAAGUUGCAGUCCAUGUGAACAGUUUUUCUGCAGCAGUGACAGCAGCUCUCUUAAAAAGGGAUCUGACAGAGGUUACCUAUUUCUAGUAUCAGGUGAGAAUAUAUACAUAGAUAUCUGACGUGAAAAAGACACUGUAAGAUUCCCCUUAUGCUGUGGUUUGAAAUUAUCACCCAUCACAUCUAUGCACUGAGGGCAUUCUGGAUGCAAAUGCUACUUCUAAUUUGCAUUCGGGGCUGAAAAUAGCUGAAUGCAGGUUAUGGUUACGGGCAUGUGGAUAUCAAAAAGCCUCCAACCGCAUCCUGUUACAACUAAUGGUCUGUGUUUGCAGCACUUUAUGUUGGAAUGCCCUCAAAUAUCACAAAGUAAGCAGAGCAGGAUGGCUGGGAGGGAAGGAGAGGGAAGGAUCCUGUGGCCUUGGCAGAGCUCAUUGCAUUGCACUGAUCCCUUCUACGGUCAUGGGGUCAGUGCACUGGACACGGGCAAACUGGAAAAUACACAGACUGAGACUGGACUCAAAGAAUCAUAAAAUAGUCUGAGUUGGAAGGGACCUACAAAGACCAUCGUGUCCAACUCCUGGCUCCA
rnacentral:lncRNA from 1 species